UAGGGAAUCUUCGGCAAUGGACGAAAGUCUGACCGAGCAACGCCGCGUGAGUGAAGAAGGUUUUCGGAUCGUAAAACUCUGUUGUUAGAGAAGAACAAGGACGUUAGUAACUGAACGUCCCCUGACGGUAUCUAACCAGAAAGCCACGGCUAACUACGUGCCAGCAGCCGCGGUAAUACGUAGGUGGCAAGCGUUGUCCGGAUUUAUUGGGCGUAAAGCGAGCGCAGGCGGUUUCUUAAGUCUGAUGUGAAAGCCCCCGGCUCAACCGGGGAGGGUCAUUGGAAACUGGGAGACUUGAGUGCAGAAGAGGAGAGUGGAAUUCCAUGUGUAGCGGUGAAAUGUGUAGAUAUAUGGAGGAACACCAGUGGCGAAGGCGGCUCUCUGGUCUGUAACUGACGCUGAGGCUCGAAAGCGUGGGGAGGAAACAGG
rnacentral:rRNA from 1 species